rnacentral:misc_RNA from 1 species
CUGAAUCAACAACGAUUAGUGCCCCUUUAGCCACAUUUGUGCGUGUGUUGAUCCACAAUCAUACAUCACUUCAAGUUAUUGGUACCUUAAAAGAUUCAGAAGUAUCUCCGUCUUGAAGACAUACACUCCCAUUGAAGCAAUGUAUGGUUUCUUUCCCGCCUCAUCCUUUGAAAGCCCCAGCACUGUUGUGUCAACUCCCAUCGCUCUUAUGUCAUCCCCUUUAGGUUUCUCACUGAAGAAAAGGACUCUCCCCUUGCUGUCUAUCUUCAUGAGACCAAAAUCUGAGGCUCGACUGUCAUCCAUUGGCAAACAAGAAACGGUGAUAUCUGCACCACUCUGCCUAUGAUUCUGAACAAAGUCCAAAUAAUCCAUUCGAUACAAGUGAUCUCCAGAUAAUAUCAGCACAUCCUCAAUCUCUUUGCUUCUUGCAUCCUCAAAAAGCCAAUGGAACUGUCUGACCGCAUCUGCAGUACCCUGGAACCACCUUUUGCCUUCCUCACCAGGAGUUUGAGUGGCUGCCAGAACCUCAACGCAGCCGUCUCCAAAAUUGAUACCAUUGCCGAAGUUAUAAGCACGAGCAAGAUGCCUGUUAAGUGAUGCUGAGUUAAACUGAGUGAGAAUGUAGACUUUGUUGAUUCCACUGUUGAUGCAGUUGCUCAUUGGUACAUCUAUCAGCCUGUAUGCACCUCCAAUUGGCACAGCAGGUUUGGCUCGGCGCUUGGUGAGAGGGAAAAGACGAGUACCAGCUCCUCCUCCCAAAAUAAUAGCCACAACUGUUCUUGGGUCCCUCUUUUCCAUGUCUAGGUCCCUCAACUUGGACUCGCCAGCUACGCUAGUAGCGAGAGACAUGGAAACAUGCCGCUUAAUAAUCUUACUGCUAGCUCUUUGAUGAUGAACUAGGCUUAGCUUGACCUUAUUUCCCAUUAACUCUCCAUUAGCAUAUUGCAAAAGUCUCGAGUUCCUCCCCGCUAAUCCAACCGCCCCAUGCAGCUGGCCGGCGGGCGAGAGGGAGAACCGGCAAUAUAACGGAAUUGAUGCCAUUGGUGGUUUGGUGCCACGUUAUCCAAAUUCAAUUGCAUCCACCAAUUUUUAUGUGUCAGUAUUUGUGCGCAAAUAAGGUAAUUCCUAAAAGGCCACUUGUUUUGCCACUAAUUACGAAUCAAGGAACAGUGUACGAGUUGCUUCCUCCCGCUGGCUGCUGCUUCAGGAUUUCUCAUUCUUCAUCCGCGAGAAAGCCACCAGGCUGAGAAAAUUACAUGGGGAGCUAGUAUGGC